rnacentral:rRNA from 1 species
CCACAAUGGGGGAAACCCUGAUGGAGCGACGCCGCGUGCGGGAUGAAGGCCCUAUGGGUUGUAAACCGCUGUUCAGUGGAAAGAACAUCCUCCGGCUGAAUAGGUCGGAGGCCUGACGUUACCACUGCAGAAAGUCCCGGCCAACUCCGUGCCAGCAGCCGCGGGUAAUACGGGGGGGACAGCGUUUGUCCGGAAUCAUUGGGCGUAAAGGGCGCGUAGGCGGCGAGGAAAGUCGAAUGUGAAAAUCUUGCGGCUCAACUGCAAAACUGCGUUCGAAAACUUCCUGCUUGAGUAUGAGAGA